rfam:Xenorhabdus nematophila ATCC 19061 chromosome, complete genome
UUCAAUGGUGGUUCAGGCAGGGGAGGCUUCGGCCUCGCUGGUGUGAACCCAGUCUGCUAACCCUGCCUUGAAUCACCACCAUC